UACAGAGGUCCCAAGCGUUGUUCGGAUUUACUGGGCGUAAAGGGUGCGUAGGCGGUGGGGUAAGUUUGAGGUGAAAGCUCCGGGCUCAACCCGGAAAAUGCCUUGAAAACUAUCCGGCUAGAGGGUUGGAGGGGAGACUGGAAUUCUCGGUGUAACAGUGAAAUGCGUAGAUCUCGAGAGGAACACCAGUGGCGAAGGCGGGUCUCUGGACAACACCUGACGCUGAGGCACGAAAGCCAGGGGAGCAAACGGG
rnacentral:rRNA from 1 species